rnacentral:rRNA from 1 species
AUGGAGGUCAAAGUUCAUGUGCAGGAGCACACAUGUUCUAGCACAAAGAAGAAAAAGAAGCAGAAAAAUGCUUCAAAGGCAUGGGUAUGUGAGAAAGUCAUGGACUGGGUAAAAGAAGAUCCUAGUGUUCGGCCCAUGGAAUUACGCAGGAGGCUACAUGACAAGUACAAGAUCAAGGUCCAAUACACAAAAGUAUUCCGUGGCAAAGGGCUAGCAAUGGCUAAGUUGUUUGCUAAUUGGGAUGAUUCUUUUGACAAGCUAUAUGCUUGGAAAGCUGAGGUUGAGAAGAGGUCUCCUGGAAGUAUAGUUGCGAUUGACCACAUGGAGUACGAUCAAAAUUUUUUUUCAUACGGAUGUUUGUUGGGCUGA